rnacentral:rRNA from 1 species
GAUGAACGCUAGCGGCAGGCUUAACACAUGCAAGUCGAGGGGUAGGUUACUUCGGUAAUUGAGACCGGCGCACGGGUGCGUAACGCGUAUACAAUCUACCUUUUACAGAGGGAUAGCCCAGAGAAAUUUGGAUUAAUACCUCAUAGUAUUUUUGAAUCGCAUGAUUUGAUUAUUAAAGUUCCAACGGUAAAAGAUGAGUAUGCGUCCCAUUAGCUAGAUGGUAAGGUAACGGCUUACCAUGGCUACGAUGGGUAGGGGUCCUGAGAGGGAGAUCCCCCCACACUGGUACUGAGACACGGACCAGACUCCUACGGGAGGCAGCAGUGAGGAAUAUUGGACAAUGGGCGCAAGCCUGAUCCAGCCAUGCCGCGUGCAGGAAGAAGGUCCUAUGGAUUGUAAACUGCUUUAUACAGGAGAAACACUCCCUCGUGAGGGAACUUGACGGUACUGUAUGAAUAAGGACCGGCUAACUCCGUGCCAGCAGCCGCGGU